UCUGAAGGUAAGGCUCCCCAGGCACGAUCCCGUACCUGUUUCAAGAAUGAUCAGUCACACUGGACUGAGACCCGGUCCGCCCUACGAGAGCAGCAGUGAGAUAUUGACAAUGAGCGAAAGCCUGAUCAAGCAUGCGCAGAUGUGAGAAGUCUCGAUGUAAAGCACUUUAAGUGGAGGAAGGCAGUAAAUAUACUUGCUGUUUGACGUACCGACAGAAUAAGCACCGGCUAACUCUGUGCCAGCACCGCGGUAAUACAGAGGGUGCGAGCGUUAAUCGGAAUUACUGGGCGUAAAGCGUGCGUAGGCGGUUUGUUAAGUGGAAUGUGAAAGCCCCGGGCUCAACCUGGGAACUGCAUCCCAAACUGGCAAACUAGAGUGCGGAAGAGGAGUGUGGAAUUUCCUGUGUAGCGGUGAAAUGCGUAGAUAUAGGAAGGAACACCAGUGGCGAAGGCGACACUCUGGUCUGACACUGACGCUGAGGUGCGAAAGCGUGGGUAGCAAACAGGAUUAGAUACCCUGGUAGUCCACGCCGUAAACGAUGUCUACUAGCCGUUGGGUUCCUUGAGGACUUAGUGGCGCAGCUAACGCAUUAAGUAGACCGCCUGGGGAGUACGGCCGCAAGGUUAAAACUCAAAUGAAUUGACGGGGGCCCGCACAAGCGGUGGAGCAUGUGGUUUAAUUCGAUGCAACGCGAAGAACCUUACCAGGUCUUGACAUCCUACUAAGUUUCCAGAGAUGGAUUCGUGCCUUCGGGAAAGUAGUGACAGGUGCUGCAUGGCUGUCGUCAGCUCGUGUCGUGAGAUGUUGGGUUAAGUCCCGUAACGAGCGCAACCCUUGUCCUUAGUUGCUAGCAGGUAAUGCUGAGAACUCUAAGGAGACUGCCGGUGACAAACCGGAGGAAGGUGGGGACGACGUCAAGUCAUCAUGGCCCUUACGACCUGGGCUACACACGUGCUACAAUGGCCAGUACAAACGGUUGCCAACCAGCGAUGGGGAGCUAAUCCGAGAAAACUGGUCGUAGUCCGGAUUGGAGUCUGCAACUCGACUCCAUGAAGUCGGAAUCGCUAGUAAUCGUGAAUCAGAAUGUCACGGUGAAUACGUUCCCGGGCCUUGUACACACCGCCCGUCACACCAUGGGAGUGGGUUGCUCCAGAAGUAGAUAGACUAACCUUCGGGGGGACGGUACCACGGAGUAUUAAGAACUUU
rnacentral:rRNA from 1 species